AGUCAGUUAUUCACAAACUUUCAACCAAUCAUCAUGAUGAAGUUAAGCCUUCUUUAUAUUCUAGUUAUUUCAAUGCUAGGAAUCGAGGGAGCUAGUAAAUGCGCAUCUGUGGUACCGACAAAUUCUAAUCCUUACUGUGGACUUUCUUUUGGGUGUGUAUAUAGUGGGCUAAAUCAAGAAGAUGUUUUAAAUGAGUCUUGUAAACGUAGGGAACAAGGCAAAACAGGUAUGUAAAAUAUAUUGAAAUCAAUUAUAAUUAUUAAUUAUUGGAAAAUUUUUUUAAAUUUUACAGGUUUUAGGAUAAUACACAAAGGACCAUGCAAGCCAGGAGCAACACCUUGUCCUAAAUCUUAAAUCAGUUUAAAAAGUAUACGACCAUCUUUUGAAAAUCUCUAAGGAAUUUUGGAAUGUAAUAUAUGUUGCAAUAAAAAAUGUAUUUUGAAAUUGA